rnacentral:rRNA from 1 species
UACGGAGGAUUCAAGCGUUAUCCGGAUUUACUGGGUGUAAAGGGAGCGUAGACGGUGAAGCAAGUCUGGAGUGAAAGGCGGGGGCUCAACCCCCGGACUGCUUUGGAAACUGUUUGACUGGAGUGCAGGAGAGGUAAGUGGAAUUCCUAGUGUAGCGGUGGAAUGCGUAGAUAUUAGGAGGAACAUCAGUGGCGAAGGCGACUUUCUGGACUGUAACUGACGCUGAGGCACGAAAGUGUGGGGAGCAAACAGG